rnacentral:misc_RNA from 1 species
UACGGAGGGUGCAAGCGUUGUCCGGAAUCAUUGGGUGUAAAGGGUGCGUAGGCGGGCAUCUAAGUCUGAGGUGAAAUCUUACCGCUUAACGGUGAAAUUGCCUUAGAUACUGGGUGUCUUGAAUCUGGCAGAGGUCGGUGGAAUUCGUGGUGUAGCGGUGAAAUGCAUAGAUAUCACGAAGAACACCAGUGGCGAAGGCGGCCGGCUGGGCUAAGAUUGACGCUGAGGCACGAGAGCGUGGGGAGCGAACAGG